AAGUCGUAACAAGGUCUCCGUUGGUGAACCAGCGGAGGGAUCAUUACCGAGUUUACAACUCCCAAACCCCUGUGAACAUACCACUUGUUGCCUCGGCGGAUCAGCCCGCUCCCGGUAAAACGGGACGGCCCGCCAGAGGACCCCUAAAACUCUGUUUCUAUAUGUAACUUCUGAGUAAAACCAUAAAUAAAUCAAAACUUUCAACAACGGAUCUCUUGGUUCUGGCAUCGAUGAAGAACGCAGCAAAAUGCGAUAAGUAAUGCGAAUUGCAGAAUUCAGUGAAUCAUCGAAUCUUUGAACGCACAUUGCGCCCGCCAGUAUUCUGGCGGGCAUGCCUGUUCGAGCGUCAUUUCAACCCUCAAGCACAGCUUGGUGUUGGGACUCGCGUUAAUUCGCGUUCCUCAAAUUGAUUGGCGGUCACGUCGAGCUUCCAUAGCGUAGUAGUAAAACCCUCGUUACUGGUAAUCGUCGCGGCCACGCCGUUAAACCCCAACUUCUGAAUGUUGACCUCGGAUCAGGUAGGAAUACCCGCUGAACUUAAGCAUAUCAAUAAGCGGAAGAAAAGAAACCAACAGGGAUUGCCCUAGUAACGGCGAGUGAAGCGGCAACAGCUCAAAUUUGAAAUCUGGCUCUCGGGCCCGAGUUGUAAUUUGUAGAGGAUACUUUUGAUGCGGUGCCUUCCGAGUUCCCUGGAACGGGACGCCAUAGAGGGUGAGAGCCCCGUCUGGUUGGAUGCCAAAUCUCUGUAAAGUUCCUUCAACGAGUCGAGUAGUUUGGGAAUGCUGCUCUAAAUGGGAGGUAUAUGUCUUCUAAAGCUAAAUACCGGCCAGAGACCGAUAGCGCACAAGUAGAGUGAUCGAAAGAUGAAAAGCACUUUGAAAAGAGAGUUAAAAAGUACGUGAAAUUGUUGAAAGGGAAGCGUUUAUGACCAGACUUGGGCUUGGUUAAUCAUCUGGGGUUCUCCCCAGUGCACUUUUCCAGUCCAGGCCAGCAUCAGUUUUCCCCGGGGGAUAAAGACGGCGGGAAUGUGGCUCUCUUCGGGGAGUGUUAUAGCCCACCGUGUAAUACCCUGGGGGGGACUGAGGUUCGCGCAUCUGCAAGGAUGCUGGCGUAAUGGUCAUCAACGACC
rnacentral:rRNA from 1 species